rnacentral:rRNA from 1 species
AAUGAACGUUGGCGGCGUGGAUUAGGCAUGCAAGUCGUACGAGAAGCCUUUUUUUGCUUGCAUUAGAAGGCGGACAGUGGCGAAAGGGAGAGUAACGCGUGGAUACCUACCCCUGGGUUCGGGAUAGCUGCGGGAAACUGCAGGUAAUACCGAAUAACAUCUCCGGAUCAAAGGUGUGAUUCCGCCCAAGGCUGGGUCCGCGUCCUACUAGCUUGUUGGUGAGGUAAUGGCUCACCAAGGCUAAGAUGGGUAGCGGGUGUGAGAGCAUGGCCCGUCUCACUGGGACUGAGACACUGCCCAGACACCUACGGGUGGCUGCAGUCGAGAAUCUUCCGCAAUGGACGAAAGUCUGACGGAGCGACGCCGCGUGCGGGAUGAAGGCCCUCGGGUUGUAAACCGCUGUCAGUUGGGAGGAAAUGCCAUAGGGCACUCUCUAUGGUUUGACCGAUCUUCAGAGGAAGUCCGGGCUAAGUUCGUGCCAGCCGCCGCAGUAACAC